AAUCAGAGGGUCAGAGCCAGAGACCCAUUUGCCUAAGGAAGCCGAACUCUUCUGGAUUCCCAUCAUGGCCUGGGCCCCUCUGCUCCUCGCGCUGCUCACUUACUGCUCAGGGGUCAGUUCACAGCCCGUGGUGACUCAGGAGCCCGCGAUGUCGGUGACCCCAGGAGGGUCUGUCACGCUGUCCUGCAGCCUGACACUGGCAGCCGUCACCACAGCAACUAUCCAGCCUGGUACAGCAGAACCAGGCUCUGCCCCUCGGCUGCUUAUCUAUGAAACUAAAGAGACCGUCCGGGAUCCCCUGCCGGUUCUCGGGGUCCAUAUCCGGUAACAACGCUGCCCUGACCAUCACCGGUGUCCAGGCAGAGGAUGAGGCUGACUAUUACUGUUCGAUAUAUACUGCCGACACGUCCAGACCUGUCUCCCAUCCCCCCUUUGGUUUUGCCAGUGACACUAGCCCAAGCUCCGACACCUGUCUCCGAGCCGACUCCCUGCUGCCCUCAGUCUGGGUCUGCAAUGAUUUCCCAGGCUCCUUUCCCACCAUCUCCUGUGUGUCCCCCAACGUGACUUGA